GCAAGUCGAACGAGUUCUGAUUAUUGAAAGGUGCUUGCAUCUUGAUUUAAUUUUGAACGAGUGGCGGACGGGUGAGUAACACGUGGGUAACCUGCCCUUAAGUGGGGGAUAACAUUUGGAAACAGAUGCUAAUACCGCAUAAAUCCAAGAACCGCAUGGUUCUUGGCUGAAAGAUGGCGUAAGCUAUCGCUUUUGGAUGGACCCGCGGCGUAUUAGCUAGUUGGUGAGGUAACGGCUCACCAAGGCAAUGAUACGUAGCCGAACUGAGAGGUUGAUCGGCCACAUUGGGACUGAGACACGGCCCAAACUCCUACGGGAGGCAGCAGUAGGGAAUCUUCCACAAUGGACGCAAGUCUGAUGGAGCAACGCCGCGUGAGUGAAGAAGGCUUUCGGGUCGUAAAACUCUGUUGUUGGAGAAGAAUGGUCGGCAGAGUAACUGUUGUCGGCGUGACGGUAUCCAACCAGAAAGCCACGGCUAACUACGUGCCAGCAGCCGCGGUAAUACGUAGGUGGCAAGCGUUAUCCGGAUUUAUUGGGCGUAAAGCGAGCGCAGGCGGUUUUUUAAGUCUGAUGUGAAAGCCCUCGGCUUAACCGAGGAAGUGCAUCGGAAACUGGGAAACUUGAGUGCAGAAGAGGACAGUGGAACUCCAUGUGUAGCGGUGAAAUGCGUAGAUAUAUGGAAGAACACCAGUGGCGAAGGCGGCUGUCUGGUCUGUAACUGACGCUGAGGCUCGAAAGCAUGGGUAGCGAACAGGAUUAGAUACCCUGGUAGUCCAUGCCGUAAACGAUGAAUGCUAGGUGUUGGAGGGUUUCCGCCCUUCAGUGCCGCAGCUAACGCAUUAAGCAUUCCGCCUGGGGAGUACGACCGCAAGGUUGAAACUCAAAGGAAUUGACGGGGGCCCGCACAAGCGGUGGAGCAUGUGGUUUAAUUCGAAGCAACGCGAAGAACCUUACCAGGUCUUGACAUCUUUUGAUCACCUGAGAGAUCAGGUUUCCCCUUCGGGGGCAAAAUGACAGGUGGUGCAUGGUUGUCGUCAGCUCGUGUCGUGAGAUGUUGGGUUAAGUCCCGCAACGAGCGCAACCCUUAUGACUAGUUGCCAGCAUUUAGUUGGGCACUCUAGUAAGACUGCCGGUGACAAACCGGAGGAAGGUGGGGAUGACGUCAAAUCAUCAUGCCCCUUAUGACCUGGGCUACACACGUGCUACAAUGGAUGGUACAACGAGUUGCGAGACCGCGAGGUCAAGCUAAUCUCUUAAAGCCAUUCUCAGUUCGGACUGUAGGCUGCAACUCGCCUACACGAAGUCGGAAUCGCUAGUAAUCGCGGAUCAGCACGCCGCGGUGAAUACGUUCCCGGGCCUUGUACACACCGCCCGUCACACCAUGAGAGUUUGUAACACCCGAAGCCGGUGGCGUAACCCUUUAGGGAGCGAGCCG
rnacentral:rRNA from 1 species